AGAGUUUGAUCCUGGCUCAGGAUGAACGCUGGCGGCGUGCCUAAUACAUGCAAGUCGAGCGAACGGACGAGAAGCUUGCUUCUCUGAUGUUAGCGGCGGACGGGUGAGUAACACGUGGAUAACCUACCUAUAAGACUGGGAUAACUUCGGGAAACCGGAGCUAAUACCGGAUAAUAUUUUGAACCGCAUGGUUCAAAAGUGAAAGACGGUCUUGCUGUCACUUAUAGAUGGAUCCGCGCUGCAUUAGCUAGUUGGUAAGGUAACGGCUUACCAAGGCAACGAUGCAUAGCCGACCUGAGAGGGUGAUCGGCCACACUGGAACUGAGACACGGUCCAGACUCCUACGGGAGGCAGCAGUAGGGAAUCUUCCGCAAUGGGCGAAAGCCUGACGGAGCAACGCCGCGUGAGUGAUGAAGGUCUUCGGAUCGUAAAACUCUGUUAUUAGGGAAGAACAUAUGUGUAAGUAACUGUGCACAUCUUGACGGUACCUAAUCAGAAAGCCACGGCUAACUACGUGCCAGCAGCCGCGGUAAUACGUAGGUGGCAAGCGUUAUCCGGAAUUAUUGGGCGUAAAGCGCGCGUAGGCGGUUUUUUAAGUCUGAUGUGAAAGCCCACGGCUCAACCGUGGAGGGUCAUUGGAAACUGGAAAACUUGAGUGCAGAAGAGGAAAGUGGAAUUCCAUGUGUAGCGGUGAAAUGCGCAGAGAUAUGGAGGAACACCAGUGGCGAAGGCGACUUUCUGGUCUGUAACUGACGCUGAUGUGCGAAAGCGUGGGGAUCAAACAGGAUUAGAUACCCUGGUAGUCCACGCCGUAAACGAUGAGUGCUAAGUGUUAGGGGGUUUCCGCCCCUUAGUGCUGCAGCUAACGCAUUAAGCACUCCGCCUGGGGAGUACGACCGCAAGGUUGAAACUCAAAGGAAUUGACGGGGACCCGCACAAGCGGUGGAGCAUGUGGUUUAAUUCGAAGCAACGCGAAGAACCUUACCAAAUCUUGACAUCCUUUGACAACUCUAGAGAUAGAGCCUUCCCCUUCGGGGGACAAAGUGACAGGUGGUGCAUGGUUGUCGUCAGCUCGUGUCGUGAGAUGUUGGGUUAAGUCCCGCAACGAGCGCAACCCUUAAGCUUAGUUGCCAUCAUUAAGUUGGGCACUCUAAGUUGACUGCCGGUGACAAACCGGAGGAAGUGGGGAUGACGUCAAAUCAUCAUGCCCCUUAUGAUUUGGGCUACACACGUGCUACAAUGGACAAUACAAAGGGCAGCGAAACCGCGAGGUCAAGCAAAUCCCAUAAAAGUUGUUCUCAGUUCGGAUUGUAGUCUGCAACUCGACUACAUGAAGCUGGAAUCGCUAGUAAUCGUAGAUCAGCAUGCUACGGUGAAUACGUUCCCGGGUCUUGUACACACCGCCCGUCACACCACGAGAGUUUGUAACACCCGAAGCCGGUGGAGUAACCUUUUAGGAGCUAGCCGUCGAAGGUGGGACAAAUGAUUGGGGUGAAGUCGUAACAAGGUAGCCGUAUCGGAAGGUGCGGCUGGAUCACCU
rnacentral:rRNA from 1 species